CCCUUAGAUGUCCUGGGCCGCACGCGCGUUACACUGAUGCAUUCAACGAGCUUAUAACCUUGGCCGAGAGGCCUGGGCAAUCUUGUUAACGUGCAUCGUGAUAGGGAUAGAUUAUUGAAAUUAUUAAUCUUGAACGAGGAAUUCCUAGUAAACGCAGAUCAUCAAUCUGCAUUGAUUACGUCCCUGCCCUUUGUACACACCGCCCGUCGCACCUACCGAUUGAAUGGUCCGGUGAAGCCUCGAGAUUGUGGCCAGCUCGCUUUAUUGGGAGUUGGUUGCGAGAACUUGUCUAAACCUUAUCAUUUAGAGGAAGGUGAAGUCGUAACA
rnacentral:rRNA from 1 species